ensembl:lncRNA LINC00398 long intergenic non-protein coding RNA 398
CAGCCUCUCUGGCGACCUCCCGACUCGCUCUGGAGCUCCCCUGUGUGCCCCCUCCCCACGUGGCACAGCAUGUCCUCUCCUCUUGGAAACCACUCCAAGCCAUGACGUCAAUGUUGAUGCAUUUCAGGCCACAUUCCUUUUAGUCUCCGGAGAAGUUCUUUACAAAAAGCAUGAAAGGUGGAAUCAAAUAGUUCCUGGGAUCAUCUCCAGUCUGAGACAUCACAUUUGCACUUUAAGCAAAUGAUUCAGAUACUAAAAUUCAAGCCCUAAAUAUGCCUUUUCAACUACAAACUAAUUAUUUGUGUCUAAA